rnacentral:rRNA from 1 species
GACGAACGCUGGCGGCGUGCCUAAUACAUGCAAGUUGAGCGCUGAAGGUUGGUACUUGUACCAACUGGAUGAGCAGCGAACGGGUGAGUAACGCGUGGGGAAUCUGCCUUUGAGCGGGGGACAACAUUUGGAAACGAAUGCUAAUACCGCAUAAAAACUUUAAACACAAGUUUUAAGUUUGAAAGAUGCAAUUGCAUCACUCAAAGAUGAUCCCGCGUUGUAUUAGCUAGUUGGUGAGGUAAAGGCUCACCAAGGCGAUGAUACAUAGCCGACCUGAGAGGGUGAUCGGCCACAUUGGGACUGAGACACGACCCAAACUCCUACGGGAGGCAGCAGUAGGGAAUCUUCGGCAAUGGACGAAAGUCUGACCGAGCAACGCCGCGUGAGUGAAGAAGGUUUUCGGAUCGUAAAACUCUGUUGGUAGAGAAGAACGUUGGUGAGAGUGGAAAGCUCAUCAAGUGACGGUAACUACCCAGAGAGGGACGGCUAACUACGUG